rnacentral:rRNA from 1 species
GACGUAGGGCGCGAGCGUUGUCCGGAUUUAUUGGGCGUAAAGAGCUCGUAGGCGGCUUGUCGCGUCGUUCGUGAAAACUUGGGGCUCAACCCCAAGCUUGCGGUCGAUACGGGCAGGCUAGAGUUCGGUAGGGGAGACUGGAAUUCCUGGUGGAGCGGUGAAAUGCGCAGAUAUCAGGAGGAACACCCGUAGCGAAGGCGGCACUCUGGGCCGAUACUGACACUGAGGAGCGAAAGCGUGGGGAGCGAACAGG